rnacentral:rRNA from 1 species
UACGUAGGGUGCGAGCGUUAAUCGGAAUUACUGGGCGUAAAGCGUGCGCAGGCGGUUUUGCAAGUCAGAUGUGAAAUCCCCGGGCUUAACCUGGGAAUGGCAUUUGGGACUGCAAGGCUCGAGUGCGGCAGAGGAGACUGGAAUUCCUGGUGUAGCAGUGAAAUGCGUAGAUAUCAGGGGGAACACCGAUGGCGAAGGCAGGUCUCUGGGCUGACACUGACGCUCAUGCACGAAAGCGUGGGGAGCAAACAGG